CUAAGCCAAUCAGCAUCAAGUAAACAUUCAUCUGUGUAGGAAAUUCAAAUGUAUGGAGAAGAAUCAUGUAAACAUAUGGCGGUUUCUGGAGCUCAUAUUUUGUGUGGAUAAACCUUUUUCCUUAUCAUUUGAAAGAUGACCAAUAUUGUGUCUGUGACAAAGAUGAGGAUCCUGUGACCAACAAGAUUUGAUGGGAAAGUUGGAAAGCUUAAAAGAACAUGCUAAAAAUGAUUACGUUCCCAGAUAGUGCAGAAAGAAUGAAGCAGAAUCCGACCAACAGCAGCAGAACUAAAUGGGGCGAUAACGGAACAAGGUUCAUUCUGUCGAAAACAUAUUAAACACAGAAUAUGAACUCUUAAAACAAUAAGUGAUAGUAAAAAUGUGUAAAAAAUAACAUUUUCAGCUGUGCCUUUAUUAAGAAAAUAUAUUAAACAAUGUUUUAUUGUCCUGUUUUCCG